UACGAAGGGGGCUAGCGUUGCUCGGAAUUACUGGGCGUAAAGGGCGCGUAGGCGGCACUGUUAGUCAGGCGUGAAAGUCCUGGGCUCAACCUGGGAACUGCGCUUGAUGCGGCAGAGCUAGAGGAUGGAAGAGGCUCGCGGAAUUCCCAGUGUAGAGGUGAAAUUCGUAGAUAUUGGGAAGAACACCGGUGGCGAAGGCGGCGAGCUGGUCCAUUACUGACGCUGAGGCGCGACAGCGUGGGGAGCAAACAGG
rnacentral:rRNA from 1 species